GUCUUAAAAGCUAAUGGAAAGCAAUUAAUCUUGUAAAUUAAAAGAUAGAAGUUUAAAUCCUCUUUAAGACU
rnacentral:tRNA from 1 species